CUGAUUUGUAUUAAAGGGCUGCGGUAAAUUAACCGUGCAAAGGUAGCAUAAUCAGUAGUCUUUUAAUUGAAGGCUGGAAUGAACGGUUGGACGAAAAGAAAGCUGUCUUUGUUGUUAUUAUUGAAUUUAACAUUUGUGUGAAAAGGCAUGAAUAGAUUGAGGGGACGAUAAGACCCUAUAAAAUUUAAUAUAUUUUAUUAUUUUUUGAAAAAGUUGAUUAAUUAUAAAAUGAGAUUAAGUAUUUUGCUGGGGCGGCAUGAAUAUAAAUUUACUAACUGUUUAUUAAAUUUAAUAUGAUUUAUAGAUUAUGGUCCUUUAUUAAGGAGUAAAGAGUAAAUUACUUUAGGGAUAACA
rnacentral:rRNA from 1 species